rnacentral:sRNA from 1 species
CACCGCCUGGGGAGUACGACCGCAAGGUUAAAACUCAAAUGAAUUGACGGGGACCCGCACAAGUAGUGGAGCAUGUGGUUUAAUUCGAAGAUACGCGCAGAACCUUACCAACACUUGACAUGUUCGUCGCGACUCUAAGAGAUUAGAGUUUUCGGUUCGGCCGGACGAAACACAGGUGCUGCAUGGCUGUCGUCAGCUCGUGUCGUGAGAUGUUGGGUUAAGUCCCGCAACGAGCGCAACCCUCACUUUUAGUUGCCAUCAUUUAGUUGGGCACUCUGAAAGAACUGCCAGUGAUAAGCUGGAGGAAGGUGGGGAUGACGUCAAGUCCUCAUGGCCCUUACGUGUUGGGCUACACACGUGCUACAAUGGUAUCUACAACAGGAAGCAAGACGGCGACGUUAAGCAAAUCCUUAAAAGAUACCUCAGUUCGGAUUGCACUCUGCAACUCGAGUGCAUGAAGCUGGAAUUACUAGUAAUCGUGGAUCAGCGUGCCACGGUGAAUGCGUUCCCGGGUCUUGUACACACCGCCCGUCACACCAUGGGAGUUGGUUCUACCUUAAGGCAAGGUUUAAAACCCUUGACCACGGUAUAGUCAGCGACUGGGGUGAAGUCGUAACAAGGUAGCCGUAGGGGAACCUGCGGCUGGAUUACCUCCUUUCUAAGGAUGAAUGAAAGUAAAAUUUCAUUCUAAAUAAUAUACAGGUAAUGUUGACCGUCCUCAUUUCUCUUCUUAAAAUAGUGUUUCUCUUGCAUGGGGGCCGGUAGCUCAGUUGGUUAGAGCACACCCUUGAUAAGGGUGGGGUCGAAAGUUCGAGUCUUUCUCGGCCCACCAAUUUAAGAUCAUGGGGGAUUAGCUCAGCUGGGAGAGCGCCUGAUUUGCAUUCAGGAGGUCAGCGGUUCGAUCCCGCUAUCCUCCACCAAAACACUUAGUUGUAAAAAAUCGUAAAUAAAAAUAAUAAUUAAUAUCAAUAUCUAUAUCCGAACAUUAGUAAUGUUAUUAGCUAAUGUUCAAAAUAAAAAUUUGAUUCAACACAGAAUUUUUUUCUG